rnacentral:rRNA from 1 species
GACGUAGGGCGCAAGCGUUGUCCGGAAUUAUUGGGCGUAAAGCGCACGUAGGCGGCUCAACAAGUCGAAUGUGAAAUCCCUCGGCUCAACCAAGGAAGUGCAUCCGAAACUGUAGAGCUUGAGUACGAAAGAGGAUCGCGGAAUUCCCGGUGUAGAGGUGAAAUUCGUAGAUAUUGGGAAGAACACCAGUGGCGAAGGCGGCUCACUGGUCCGAUACUGACGCUGAGGUGCGAAAGCGUGGGGAGCAAACAGG